rnacentral:rRNA from 1 species
AGAAUCAACGCUGGCGGCGUGCCUAACACAUGCAAGUCGAACGAGAAAGGGAUUUCGGUCCUGAGUAUAGUGGCGCACGGGUGAGUAACACGUGAAUAAUCUACCUCCGAGUGGGGAAUAACUGAGAGAAAUCUUAGCUAAUACCGCAUAACACUUACGAGUCAAAGCAGCAAUGCGCUUGGAGAGGAGUUCGCGGCCGAUUAGCUAGUUGGCGGGGUAAUGGCCCACCAAGACGAUGAUCGGUA